UACGGGGGGAGCAAGCGUUGUUCGGAAUUACUGGGCGUAAAGGGCGCGUAGGCGGCACGGCAAGUCGGGAGUGAAAGGCCUGGGCUCAACCGAGGAACUGCUUUCGAGACUGCCGAGCUAGAGUGCGGAAGGGGCAACUGGAAUUCCCAGUGUAGCGGUGAAAUGCGUAGAUAUUGGGAAGAACACCGGAGGCGAAGGCGGGUUGCUGGGCCGACACUGACGCUGAGGCGCGAAAGCCAGGGGAGCGAACGGG
rnacentral:rRNA from 1 species